UGCUAGGAGAUUGCCUCUGUCAUUACCCACUUAGAGUGGAUAUGGGAAUGCAAUUGAAGA
ncrna:unclassified sequences Transposase-1 RNA